rnacentral:rRNA from 1 species
GCCGAUCAGGCUGUUGGUGAGGUAAUGGCCCACCAAACCUGUAACCGGUACGGGCUCUGAGAGGAGGAGCCCGGAGAUGGGCACUGAGACAAGGGCCCAGGCCCUAUGGGGCGCAGCAGGCGCGAAACCUCUGCAAUAGGCGAAAGCUUGACAGGGUUACUCUGAGUGAUUUCCGUUAAGGAAAUCUUUUGGCACGUCUAAAAAUGGUGCAGAAUAAGGGGUGGGCAAGUCUGGUGUCAGCCGCCGCGGUAAUACCAGCACCCCGAGUGGUCGGGACGUUUAUUGGGCCUAAAGCAUCCGUAGCCGGUUCUACAAGUCUUCCGUUAAAUCCAACUGCUUAACAGGUGGGCUGCGGAAGAUACUAUAGAUCUAGGAGGCGGGAGAGGCAAGCGGUACUCGAUGGGUAGGGGUAAAAUCCGUUGAUCCAUUGAAGACCACCAGUGGCGAAGGCGGCUUGCCAGAACGCGCUCGACGGUGAGGGAUGAAAGCUGGGGGAGCAAACCGGAUUAGAUACCCGGGUAGUCCCAGCUGUAAACGAUGCAGACUCGGUGAUGAGUUGGCUAUAUGCCAUCUCAGUGCCGCAGGGAAGCCGUUAAGUUUGCCGCCUGGGGAGUACGGUCGCAAGACUGAAACUUAA